rnacentral:tRNA from 2 species
GCCCUUUUAGCUCAGAGGUAGAGCACUGGUCUCGUAAACCAGGGGUCGUGAGUUCAAUCCUCACAGAGGGCA